rnacentral:lncRNA from 1 species
UAAUCUCUUUAACCUGAAUCUAUUCCUGCUUGAUUUUGUCUGUUUAACCUUUAACUGGGAACAGGUUUGUGGGCACGUGAUUCUUGCUUAAUAAAAGGAUGGCCUGAUGGCCUAAAGGCCUAUGCAGUGCUUGGGCUUCUUGCCAUGGAACCUAAGUCUCCUCUCUUUCUUUAAGAUGUGACUGGCUUCACGCAGGACACGGAGAACAGCAUUGCUGGGGACAUAUCCUGACAAGUGGUGACCUGGAUGUGACCAAAGUCCGAUGUGACCAAAGCCCAACGUGACCAAAGUCUGACGUGAUAGAAGUUCGAGUCUACACAACGAAGUGGCAACCACAGAAUAAGGAAAAAACAGAGUGCGCCAGGAGACUCAAGGAUCCCAACUGAAUGUCUCAAGAACUAGAGAUGGUCUGGAUAAGAGAAGUGUUCCUGAAAACCAUGGUAGAAGGUUUGCAUCACAAGGUAAGAUGAGAGAAAAGCAAGUUCUCGUAGAAAGAUUUGUUUCAUCAGGGUCAGAAUACUGAAAAGAUGUUUUAUCAA